rnacentral:rRNA from 1 species
AUUGAACGCUGGCGGCAUGCCUUACACAUGCAAGUCGAACAGCAGCACGGGAGCAAUCCUGGUGGCGAGUGGCGAACGGGUGAGUAAAGUAUCGGAACGUGCCCAGUCGUGGGGGAUAACGUAGCGAAAGUUACGCUAAUACCGCAUACGAUCUACGGAUGAAAGCGGGGGAUCGCAAGACCUCGCGCGAUUGGAGCGGCUGAUAUCAGAUUAGGUAGUUGGUGGGGUAAAGGCUCACCAAGCCGACGAUCUGUAGCUGGUCUGAGAGGACGACCAGCCAGACUGGGACUGGGACACGGCCCAGACUCCUACGGGAGGCAGCAGUGGGGAAUUUUGGACAAUGGGCGCAAGCCUGAUCCAGCCAUGCCGCGUGCAGGAUGAAGGCCUUCGGGUUGUAAACUGCUUUUGUACGGAACGAAAAGGCUCUGGUUAAUACCCGGGGCUCAUGACGGUACCGUAAGAAUAAGCACCGGCUAACUACGUGCCAGCCGCCGCCGUAA